rnacentral:lncRNA from 13 species
CUUCCGGCGGCGGCGGGCAGCGCGUGUGGGAGCGAGCGGGCGGCGACUGUUUACUUCCGGCCGCCGGGGCUGAGGCCGAGCGCGUCGGGCGGCGGGCGCGGCGGCCCCGCGCAGCCAUGGACUGGCUCAUGGGGGAGCAUCUGAGGCCCAGUUUUGAGCCGUCAUUACCGGAUUCCUUCGAUUCCUCACAACGGGCCUCCAGGUGCAUAGUGAGGCGGGCAUCGUCCGGUGUGUGAGGUUUUCAGGAAACUGAAAUGUUUUGCUG